GAUAGAGGUGUCUCGGAUCAUCAACAAAUGCUUUGUUGAGAUCACACAUUUCUUCAGCUUUUGGUGAGACAUCCUUGCUUUUGGAGGACUCCAGUCUUAUUAUUUUAGAAAUACUUUGAAGGUAGUCGUGGGUCUUAUCCCGAAACCUAUUCUCAGUUAGUAGAGGCUUCAAAGAUAGACAAAUUUAGAGAGAUUCAGUUCAAUAUUUCUUCUCAAAUGUUUUGAACAGUUUCAUUACUUAUAUUUAGUAUUUUCAGAUAGUGCAUUAUGUCC
rnacentral:lncRNA from 1 species